rnacentral:tRNA from 1 species
CGCGGGGUGGAGCAACUUGGUAGCUCGUCGGGCUCAUAACCCGAAGGUUGUCGGUUCAAGUCCGGCCCCCGCUACCA